GAGCCUGAGGAAGCUAGCACCUGCACUACCACGGGAUAAUUUGCUUGAGAGAAUUACUAUUCUGAAAAACUAGAUUUGGGACGGAGAGACCCAGUUUGCGGGGGGCACCGGGGAGAAGAGUAAGUUUUCUUUGCAAGAAUGCAGAGAUUUAUCAGAACAACAAAUGUGGAGGUGAUUUUUGCAAGAGAGUCAUAGAGGUAUCCACUUACCAAGUUGACGUCAGUGAGAGGCUGGAUCAAUCCCCAGAACUUCCUAUCUCAGACUUCUUGUCAUUUGAGAAGUUUAAAGAGGCUUCCUUCAAACCAGGAUCAUAAAAAUAGUUAUGCAUAUUUUCUUCUAUUAAUUUCAAGCCUUCAAGAUAACUUUUAAAUUGUUGAUCCGUCUGGAAUUUAUUUUGGUAUAAAAGUAAGGAAAACAAAUUACAAAAGUAACCUAUGCUUGCUAUAACAAAGUCAAACAAUACAGACAUGUGGAGAAUAAGCCUUGACAACCUCUCUCUCUUCCCCUUUAACAACACAUCCCAGAGGAAACUCCAAUCAGCUGCUUGUUGAGCGUCCAUCCUUUCAGAUGUUCUCCCAUUCUUAUGCAUAAACGCGUUUCAUGAAGAAGAGCUACCAAAAUAUCAGUGACAUUUUGACUAGGAUUUCAAUAAAUAUUUGUAAAGAUGUAUUUUCCUUAACGUUUCUGGCUUCCAAAUCAUGUAAUGCCUCAGCAUUUCAGGUUUUUUUAAUGUGUAUACCAGUAUAACACCACU
rnacentral:lncRNA from 1 species